rnacentral:rRNA from 1 species
GAUGAACGCUGGCGGCGUGCUUAACACAUUCAAGUCGAACGGACGAUGGAGAGCUUGCUCUCCAAAGUUAGUGGCGGACGGGUGAGUAACGCGUGAGCAACCUGCCUUUCAAAGCGGGACAACAGUUGGAAACGACUGCUAAUACCGCAUAACGUGUAUUUACCGCAUGAUAGAUACACCAAAGUGGCAACACGAUGAAAGAUGGGCUCGCGUCCGAUUAGAUAGUUGGUGAGGUAACGGCUCACCAAGUCGACGAUCGGUAGCCGGACUGAGAGGUUGAACGGCCACAUUGGGACUGAGACACGGCCCAGACUCCUACGGGAGGCAGCAGUGGGGGAUAUUGGACAAUGGGGGAAACCCUGAUCCAGCGACGCCGCGUGAGUGAAGAAGUAUUUCGGUAUGUAAAGCUCUAUCAGCAGGGAAGAAAAAUAACCAAAUUGACUGUACCUGACUAAGAAGCCCCGGCUAACUACGUG